UCCAGACUCCUACGGGAGGCAGCAGUGGGGAAUAUUGCACAAUGGGGGAAACCCUGAUGCAGCGACGCCGCGUGAGUGAAGAAGUAUUUCGGUAUGUAAAGCUCUAUCAGCAGGGAAGAAAUAGCGACCUUUGGGUCGCCAGACGGUACCUGAUUAAGAAGCCCCGGCUAACUACGUGCCAGCAGCCGCGGUAAUACGUAGGGGGCAAGCGUUAUCCGGAUUUACUGGGUGUAAAGGGUGCGUAGGUGGCAGGGCAAGUCAGAUGUGAAAGCCCGGGGCCCAACCCCGGUACUGCAUUUGAAACUGUCCGGCUGGAGUGCAGGAGAGGUAAGCGGAAUUCCUAGUGUAGCGGUGAAAUGCGUAGAUAUUAGGAGGAACACCAGUGGCGAAGGCGGCUUACUGGACUGUAACUGACACUGAGGCACGAAAGCGUGGGGAGCAAACAGGAUUAGAUACCCCGGUAUA
rnacentral:rRNA from 1 species